rnacentral:rRNA from 1 species
GAUGAACGCUGGCGGCGUGCCUAAUACAUGCAAGUCGAGCGAACGGACGAGAAGCUUGCUUCUCUGAUGUUAGCGGCGGACGGGUGAGUAACACGUGGAUAACCUACCUAUAAGACUGGGAUAACUUCGGGAAACCGGAGCUAAUACCGGAUAAUAUUUUGAACCGCAUGGUUCAAAAGUGAAAGACGGUCUUGCUGUCACUUAUAGAUGGAUCCGCGCUGCAUUAGCUAGUUGGUAAGGUAACGGCUUACCAAGGCAACGAUGCAUAGCCGACCUGAGAGGGUGAUCGGCCACACUGGAACUGAGACACGGUCCAGACUCCUACGGGAGGCAGCAGUAGGGAAUCUUCCGCAAUGGGCGAAAGCCUGACGGAGCAACGCCGCGUGAGUGAUGAAGGUCUUCGGAUCGUAAAACUCUGUUAUUAGGGAAGAACAUAUGUGUAAGUAACUGUGCACAUCUUGACGGUACCUAAUCAGAAAGCCACGGCUAACUGCGUGCCAGCAGCCGCGGUAAUACGUAGGUGGCAAGCGUUAUCCGGAAUUAUUGGGCGUAAAGCGCGCGUAGGCGGUUUUUUAAGUCUGAUGUGAAAGCCCACGGCUCAACCGUGGAGGGUCAUUGGAAACUGGAAAACUUGAGUGCAGAAGAGGAAAGUGGAAUUCCAUGUGUAGCGGUGAAAUGCGCAGAGAUAUGGAGGAACACCAGUGGCGAAGGCGACUUUCUGGUCUGUAACUGACGCUGAUGUGCGAAAGCGUGGGGAUCAAACAGGAUUAGAUACCCUGGUAGUCCACGCCGUAAACGAUGAGUGCUAAGUGUUAGGGGGUUUCCGCCCCUUAGUGCUGCAGCUAACGCAUUAAGCACUCCGCCUGGGGAGUACGACCGCAAGGUUGAAACUCAAAGGAAUUGACGGGGACCCGCACAAGCGGUGGAGCAUGUGGUUUAAUUCGAAGCAACGCGAAGAACCUUACCAAAUCUUGACAUCCUUUGACAACUCUAGAGAUAGAGCCUUCCCCUUCGGGGGACAAAGUGACAGGUGGUGCAUGGUUGUCGUCAGCUCGUGUCGUGAGAUGUUGGGUUAAGUCCCGCAACGAGCGCAACCCUUAAGCUUAGUUGCCAUCAUUAAGUUGGGCACUCUAAGUUGACUGCCGGUGACAAACCGGAGGAAGGUGGGGAUGACGUCAAAUCAUCAUGCCCCUUAUGAUUUGGGCUACACACGUGCUACAAUGGACAAUACAAAGGGCAGCGAAACCGCGAGGUCAAGCAAAUCCCAUAAAGUUGUUCUCAGUUCGGAUUGUAGUCUGCAACUCGACUACAUGAAGCUGGAAUCGCUAGUAAUCGUAGAUCAGCAUGCUACGGUGAAUACGUUCCCGGGUCU